AGGACGAACGCUGGCGGCGUGCUUAACACAUGCAAGUCGAGCGGAAAGGCCCUUCGGGGUACUCGAGCGGCGAACGGGUGAGUAACACGUGAGUAACCUGCCCCUAGCUUCGGGAUAGCUCCGGGAAACCGGAAUUAAUACCGGAUAUGACCACGGCCGACAUCGGCCACGGUGGAAAGAUUCAUCGGCUAGGGAUGGGCUCGCGGCCUAUCAGCUUGUUGGUGGGGUAACAGCCUACCAAGGCGACGACGGGUAGCCGGCCUGAGAGGGCGACCGGCCACACUGGGACUGAGACACGGCCCAGACUCCUACGGGAGGCAGCAGUGGGGAAUAUUGCGCAAUGGGCGAAAGCCUGACGCAGCGACGCCGCGUGGGGAUGAAGGCCUUCGGGUUGUAACCCUUUCGGCAGGGACGAAGCGAAAGUGACGGUACCUGCAGAAGAAGCGCCGGCUAACUACGUGCCAGCAGCCGC
rnacentral:rRNA from 1 species